CUCCAUUUUCUCUCCCUCACCGCACACUUCUCUUUUUCUUCUUUCUUUUGUUUCUUUUUCUUUCUUUUCCCUCUUUCUCCUCUCUAUUCACACACGCCACCCAGCCCACUUCCCUUCUUCUUUUCUCUUCUUCCCUUCCCUUUCCCCCUUCAUCUCUCGCACACCAAUACAGAACCUCCCGUGUGAGAGAUUUCCGUGAUGGUGUGUGUGUAGUGCGGCCAUGGGGGAAAACCAACGAAAAUCAACAAGGGUCGUGUCAUAAUUGGAGACUUCAAUGGGUUCUUCAAUGUAGAGUUGGAGUCGUGAGUCCAAUGCAGCCAGAUGAUGUCUCUUGGCUGCAGGUACUCAGGUCGUAGUUGAUGAGGUCGUAGACGUGCAUUUGGGAUAUUAUGACCGGAGCUCGCCACGAUGGUCAUAAUUGCGGGACCAUGGGCGUCCUCAGUUUUAUAAGUUUUGUUAUGGCUUGUGAUGCAUGUGUCACUCGUUUUUGUAUAAAGCCAUUUCUGUUGUGUAUAUAUAUUGAGGAAAGACUUAAACACAUAGAUGUUAAAUGACUCUUCUUGUUAUUAAUUUAUGAUAGAUGUUUAAGAUGUGA